UACAGAGGGGGCAAGCGUUGUUCGGAAUCACUGGGCGUAAAGCGCACGUAGGCGGAUGUGCCAGUCAGGGGUGAAAUCCCGGAGCUCAACUUCGGAACUGCCUCUGAUACAGCACGUCUUGAGUCCGGAAGAGGUGGGUGGAAUUCCUAGUGUAGAGGUGAAAUUCGUAGAUAUUCGGAAGAACACCAGUGGCGAAGGCGACUUACUGGACACAUAUUGACGCUGAGGCGCGAAAGCUAGGGGAGCAAACGGG
rnacentral:rRNA from 1 species